UACGGGGGGGAGCAAGCGUUGUUCGGAUUUACUGGGCGUAAAGGGCGCGUAGGCGGUCAGCACAAGUCAGUUGUGAAAUCUCCGGGCUUAACUCGGAAAGGUCAACUGAUACUGUGCGACUAGAGUGCGGAAGGGGCAACUGGAAUUCUCGGUGUAGCGGUGAAAUGCGUAGAUAUCGAGGAAGACACCUGCGGCGAAGGCGGGUUGCUGGGCCGACACUGACGCUGAUGCGCGAAAGCCAGGGAGCGA
rnacentral:rRNA from 1 species